CCUGCUCCCAACCCCCUCCAGCCUCCAGCAGCAGCAGCAGCAGCACCAGCAGCAGCAGUGGCAGCAGCAGCGCCCCUGAAGUCUCUUGUGGAAGGCAGAACUGCCUUAGGAAGCAUGAAAGUGGACGCAGCCCUGUGCCAGGUGUCAACUAUUUGAGCUCGCUUCCCGGCCCCAUUGAUUUCCAGCUCCGCUCCCAGAUACUUCGCGAGGCGCUCCCUUUUGCCCGCCCGACUUCUGAGCGGAGCGCUCGGGUGGGAGGAGAACCGGCAAAUCCUCGCGGGCGCCGGGCGCUCGCGGAGCCGCCCGCGCCCAGCCCCGUCACGUUGGCUGCCGAGCGCAUCCCGGCUGCGCCCCGGCGGGGAGGCGCAGAGGGUAGCUAAGGGGAGCAGGUCACGUGAGAGGAGGAGUCUGACCUACUUUCCAGGCGGCAGGCGCAUGCGCACUUCCUAUCUGCGCGCUGGCCGGGAGGCUCACGUGGAAUCGCACGUGCCUGGUUCUCCAGCUAGGGGCUCCUGGCCGGGCGCGCGCAGUGGUAGGUCCGCGGUGGGACCGGCGGAGGAGGGCGCGGCAGGGUGGAGCGCUUGGAGACUUAAUCUGCGGGUCCCGCAAUCAUCAUCCGUGACAACCGCAGCCUCUGGAGAGCUGCUUAGGCGCCCUGCGGGGCUUCCCACAAAUUCAUCACAUUCAACAUUCGUGAAUUCAGAAAUUAAGACACAGACUGCCCCUCUGCCCUGUAAAUCACCAGUUCUGCAACUCAGAAUUUAUCCUGCAAUGGGCUUCUGCUCCUGUGAAAUUAAGUCCCUGAAAGUAUAAUCAUUACAUCAUUGUUGGACAUCACAGACGGCCGAACCAGUCAAAAUGUCCAACGAUAAAACCGGUUAAAUUCGUAGAAACAUAAAUUAUGGUUGGACCACACUUGAAGUUGUCUGCAGCUCUUAAAAACAAAUAGACUCUGCUCUCUAGACACUAAUAUGGAAAGACCUUCAAGAUACAUUAUGUGAUUUGUAAAAAAUGAUGCAGAACAGUGUAUGGGAUGCUGACAUUUGUGAGGAAAAAAAGUAUAUAUGUAUAUAUGUUAUGAACAGACUAGUUCUGAAAAAAUAUAUUGGAUGACUGGGGGUGGGGGUCAGGGAAGACGCAAAACUCCACACUUAUGUAACUUUUAAAUUUUGUAGCAUGGAUGAUUAAUCUUUUUUUUUUUCAAAUAACAUUUAAAAACAGAGUUAUUUAGCACUUACCCUGUGCUGGGUACCAGCUUUUAUGUAAAUCAUUUCCUUCUAGAAAGUUUGUCAUGUACAGUAUCUGCCGCAUUUCCUGUUCUGUUCGGCUUGAAUCUUAAUGUCUUGAGCUUUCUGAUAAACUGUUGAGACAUUUUUUUAAAAAUCCCGAUAUGAACAACCCGAGUCCUCCACAUCUUUAAGAUUCUUUUCAAGUUCUGUCUCUUGAGGGAAGGUAUCUUAACCAAGAGGCUCUCAGCAACAAAUACUUGCAUAAUAAAGCCGACACAGCAGUUUUACACA
rnacentral:lncRNA from 1 species